rnacentral:rRNA from 1 species
GGUAUGUAAAGCUCUAUCAGCAGGGAAGAAAAUGACGGUACCUGACUAAGAAGCCCCGGCUAACUACGUGCCAGCAGCCGCGGUAAUACGUAGGGGGCAAGCGUUAUCCGGAUUUACUGGGUGUAAAGGGAGCGUAGACGGCGAUGCAAGUCUGAAGUGAAAGCCCGGGGCUCAACCCCGGGACUGCUUUGGAAACUGCCUUGCUAGAGUGCUGGAGAGGUAAGUGGAAUUCCUAGUGUAGCGGUGAAAUGCGUAGAUAUUAGGAGGAACACCAGUGGCGAAGGCGGCUUACUGGACAGUAACUGACGUUGAGGCUCGAAAGCGUGGGGAGCAAACAGGAUUAGAUACCCUGGUAGUCCACGCGGUAAA